rfam:Lupinus angustifolius cultivar Tanjil contig_31561, whole genome shotgun sequence.
AACCCGUGGUUGGGACAUUUCCUCAACAACACCUGGAAACAUUCUCAUGCCUCAUAUAAAGCUUCUUCUGCAUCUUGUUUGAAUGUUGAAAUUUUAAACUUCGCAU